GGCGACCGGCGCACGGGUGAGUAACGCGUAUCCAACCUUCCCUUUACUGGGGUCCAGCCCGUCGAAAGGCGGAUUAAUCCCCCAUGUUCUCCGUCCCGGACAUCUGUGUCGGAGCAAAGAUUUAUCGGUAAAGGAUGGGGAUGCGUCCGAUUAGCUUGUUGGCGGGGUAACGGCCCACCAAGGCAUCGAUCGGUAGGGGUUCUGAGAGGAAGGUCCCCCACACUGGAACUGAGACACGGUCCAGACUCCUACGGGAGGCAGCAGUGAGGAAUAUUGGUCAAUGGCCGAGAGGCUGAACCAGCCAAGUCGCGUGAGGGAAGAAUGUCCUAAGGAUUGUAAACCUCUUUUGUCGGGGAGCAAAAAGGCUCUGCGGAGUCGUAUUGAGAGUACCCGAAGAAAAAGCAUCGGCUAACUCCGUGCCAGCAGCCGCGGUAAUACGGAGGAUGCGAGCGUUAUCCGGAUUUAUUGGGUUUAAAGGGUGCGCAGGCGGCGUGUCAAGCAAGCGGUAAAAUAGCGGGGCUCAACCCCGUCGAGCCGUUUGAACUGGCGCGCUUGAGUUCAGGCGAGGUAGGCGGAAUUCGUGGUGUAGCGGUGAAAUGCAUAGAUAUCACGAAGAACUCCGAUUGCGAAGGCAGCUCACUGGACUGCAACUGACACUGAGGCUCGAAAGUGUGGGUAUCAAACAGGAUUAGAUACCCUGGUAGUCCACACAGUAAA
rnacentral:rRNA from 1 species